GAAAUGCGAUAAGUAAUGUGAAUUGCAGAAUUCCGUGAAUCAUCGAAUCUUUGAACGCACAUUGCGCCCUCUGGCAUUCCGGGGGGCAUGCCUGUCCGAGCGUCAUUACGCACCCUCAAGCCCGGCUUGUGUGAUGGACCCCGGCGUCUCGUUCGCGAGACGGGCCCGAAAGGCAGCGGCGGCGUCGACCCGAUGAGCCCGAGCGUAUGGGGACUUCUGUCACACGUUCGCGGUGCGGACCGGCGCCUGCUUGACUUUUCUGAUUAUCCAGGUUGACCUCGGAUCAGGUAGGGAUACCCGCUGAACUUAAG
rnacentral:misc_RNA from 1 species